rnacentral:rRNA from 1 species
UACGAAGGGGGCUAGCGUUGCUCGGAAUCACUGGGCGUAAAGGGUGCGUAGGCGGGUCUUUAAGUCAGGGGUGAAAUCCUGGAGCUCAACUCCAGAACUGCCUUUGAUACUGAAGAUCUUGAGUUCGGGAGAGGUGAGUGGAACUGCGAGUGUAGAGGUGAAAAUUCGUAGAUAUUCGCAAGAACACCAGUGGCGAAGGCGGCUCACUGGCCCGAUACUG